CUGGUUGAUCCUGCCAGAGGCUACUGCUAUCGGGGUCCGACUAAGCCAUGCGAGUUGAGAGGGGUAAGCCCUCGGCAUAUUGCUCAGUAACACGCGGAUAACCUGCCCUUGGGUCCGGGAUAACCCCGGGAAACUGGGACUAAUACCAGAUAAAUCAUAGAUACUGGAAUGUUCUUUGGUUGAAAGUUCAGGCGCCUAAGGAUGAGUUUGCGGCCUAUCAGGUAGUAGUGGGUGUAACGUACCUACUAGCCUACGACGGGUAAGGGUUGUGAGAGCAAGAGCCCUGAGAUGGAUUCUGAGACAUGAAUCCAGGCCCUACGGGGUGCAGCAGGCGCGAAAACUUUACACUGCGGGAAACCGCGAUAAGGGGACCCCGAGUGCCAGUACCUAGUGCUGGCUGUCCCGCUGUCCAAACAACAGUGGUUAGCAAGGGCCGGGCAAGACCGGUGCCAGCCGCCGCGGUAACACCGGCGGCCCGAGUGGUAGCCGUUAUUAUUGGGUUUAAAGGGUCCGUAGCCGGCUUAUUAAGUCUCUUGGGAAAUCUGGCGGCUUAAUCGUCAGGCGUCCAAGAGAUACUGAUAGGCUUGGGACCGGGAGAGGUGGGAGGUACUCCAGGGGUAGGGGUGAAAUCUCGUAAUCCUUGGGGGACCACCGAUGGCGAAGGCAUCCCACCAGAACGGGUCCGACGGUGAGGGACGAAAGCUGGGGGCACGAACCGGAUUAGAUACCCGGGUAGUCCCAGCUGUAAACGAUGCUCGCUAGGUGUCAGGUGCGGUGCGACCGCAUCUGGUGCCGUAGUGAAAACUUGAAGCGAGUCACCUGGGAAGUACGGUCGCAAGGCUGAAACUUAAAGGAAUUGGCGGGGGAGCACUACAACGGGUGGAGCCUGCGGUUCAAUUGGAGUCAACGCCGGG
rnacentral:rRNA from 1 species